rnacentral:rRNA from 1 species
CCUGAGAAACCCAAAAGAUCGAAUGGGGAGAUUCAUCGUCAGCGAUCCAGGCGCUUGUGCGGUUCGCGAUGCCGCGGGACUUCGGUCCUGAGGGUACGCGUCCGUUACGGUUUUCUGCCUGGUGUCGUCGGCGUGCACUUCUCCCCUAGUAGGACGUCGCGACCCGUUGGGUGUCGGUCUACGACCCGGGUGGUUGCCUGUCAUGCGUACGACGCUUCGCGGCGUCAUGUGGCUGACAGACCCCCGGUCGUCCGACCAGCUGCCCGGCGGUACUCGCACGGUAUCGAGCCGCAAAUUUGAACUGCGUCCGGCCCGCCGCAAGCGAGGCCAGUGCUCCCGGAUGUAUCGGACCUAGUGCCGUCGCCGGGCCUGGCCAGCUGCUGGUUGGCGGUGUCCUGGGACUGGCUCUCGAACGCAUACUGGUCGGCGACGCUACUGCUUUGGGUACUUUCAGGACCCGUCUUGAAACACGGA